rnacentral:tmRNA from 13 species
CAUUGUCGCGCAUGAACUGCAACUGGUGGUGAUGUCACCUAAAUCCAUCGCAGAUAAAUAUAACUGCUAAAAAUAACACUUCUUACGCACUCGCUGCCUAAACACCAGCUUGCGUAGCUGAUGAUCGUUCGCCGAUGGCGGCCUGAAGCUCUAAACCUCAGUCGGAUACGUUUUUAUGGUGGCUUUACAUAAAAAAAGAGAUUUUAAAGCACCGCAAAUUUCUGCUGUUUGAGACUGGCUUUGGAAAUUUGUUAAACUAGAGAAAGUCCUAUGGUUGUAGACGUUGAUGUAGCAAGGUG